ACGUCAAUUACGGAAGGGUCUUUUCCAUUGCUGGCUAAAUCUGAAGAAAAAAAAUUAAAAUAAUGAGUCGUGCGAUAAAUAUAAGCAUAUCAACAACACUUAUAUACAACAAAAACAGUAUGAGUCACUGCAACAAGAAAAGAAAAGGAAUGAGAAUAAAGAUAUCAAGUUGUAAUGGACCGCAAAACAUUCCAUAUUGUCAGAAAAACUAUAAUUAGUACACAGUAUGUGAUUCAUUUGCAAUAUAAGUAUCAUCACUUGAAUAAACAAACAUCAGUCCAAGUGUUGGAAUAAAAAUUAUUGCUUUAUCACCAAUGGUUGAGUCUAACACCCUUAAAAAUCCAGCACUAACACCACCAGAAGCAUAUCUUUGUAAUUUACUUGUGUAAUUGUGUUGCUAUAUUUCAUGGUCAGUAUUACAAGGUAUUCACUUCAUCCUAGAGGACUUAAGUUCCGAGAUGAAGUAACAUAUGUUUCAUAAAAAGAAAAAAGAACAAGGGAUUCAUUGGUAUAUUUGUUGAUACAAAACUACAGAAUACUCAUGUAACACCAAGAUCAGCCAAUUAUUCCUACAUUCAAAAAGACAUGUCACUCUAAUAUUUCCAAAAACUUAGCCUAAGAAUAUAUAUGAUUGGCAUGUAUGAAACAAGAGUAACUCCUCUAUUUCAAGAGUAGUGAUCAGAAACUUCUACGCUAUCUGAAGAGGCUCUGAUUCUAGAGAUGAUUCACCAUCAUUAACCAAACAAAGUAAUUUUUUAAAAUUUAAUAAAUAUAAAAAAUCAUUCAGGAAUUGCAAUAUUAAGUUAAUGGUUCGAUUCUGCCAGCAACUUCCUCACAGAUAUCAGAAAAAGGAGCUUGGUUAUCCUCAUUAUGACCGCAAUUUUAGAAAAUCAAUAAAAAAACAACAAUAAGGCUGGUUGAAAAUAUUUAGCUAAUCAAAUUCGAUCGACCAUUGAAACUUACCAUAUGCUGACUGCUGCUCUAGCUAUGGCGAGAGGGAGAGGCGAGACGACGAGAGGGAGACCGAUGGCUGGUGGAAGUCGACGAAGACUAGUGUGGUGGCUGCUAGUUUAGGCGUUAGGGUUUCUAGGAAUUAGGUUUAGCCGUUUGGGAAUUGGGACCUUAGGU
rnacentral:lncRNA from 1 species